AUUCAGCUGAUACUCAGGUUCUUUAAAUAUGUAUAACAACUCAACUUUGUUGGCCUUCUGAAUGCUGCUUGCAGAAUUACUAGAGUUGUUUCCCUGAUCAAACUAUUUCUACAAUCGUGUUUCAUGACAUUGAAGUGCAAGGUGCAAAAAGUUAUUAUGUAUUACUUCCUCCGCAAUGCAAUUGCUUCUUUUGGGUCUCUUGCUGGCCCCUGAAUUACUCUUUCUAAGGCCAACGUAAAGGGCUUCAUAAUGGCCAGUUUCUCCUUGCUGGUUGUUUGGGUGGCAUAUCAAGUG
rnacentral:lncRNA from 1 species